UAGAUGCGAGAGUAGAGCAUAUCAAUAAGCGGAGGAAAAGAAACUAACAAGGAUUCCCUUAGUAACGGCGAGUGAGGCGGGAAGAGCUCAAAUUUGAAAUCUUCAAGGUUUUACCUUGACGAAUUGUAGUUUAAAGAAGUGUUUUCUGUUAGAUGAGUAGCUAAAAGUUCCUUGGAAUGGGACAUCAUAGAGGGUGAGAAUCCCGUAUUUGGUUAUUCAUUCUAGCUUUGUGAUACACUUUCAAAGAGUCGGAUUGUUUGGGAAUGCAGUCCAAAAUGGGUGGUAAAUUUCAUCUAAAGCUAAAUAUUGGCGAGAGACCGAUAGCGAACAAGUACCGUGAGGGAAAGAUGAAAAGAACUUUGAAAAGAGAGUUAAACAGUACGUGAAAUUGUCAAAAGGGAAGCGUUUGACACCAGUGUUGUUUUCUCGAAAAUCAAUUAAAAAAAGUUGGAUUUUGUGUUGUAUUGACCUUAACAGCUUGCUUCACUCUUUUCCUGCUUUUUUUUUAAUGCACUUUUCGUUUAACAAGUCAACAUCAGUUUCUUUUGUUGUAAAAGGGUCAUUGGAAGGUGGCUUUCUCUUCGGAGAAAGUGUUUAUAGCCUUUGAUCUCUAGCAAUCGGAGAGACUUGAGGUCUGCAGCGUAGAUCCUUCGGGGUUAGAUACAUUUGUGCUAAGCUUACAGCUUUUCAUAGACAACUUGUUGACUAUGUUUAGUCAUGCGGCUUACUCGCUUAUGCUAUUUUACCUACGCUUAGGAUGUUGAGCGCAUGUCUCUCUCU
rnacentral:rRNA from 1 species